GGUCAGUUAAAAGGUGAAACGAACACGAUUAAAAUAGACCAAAAGAAAAGAAAGAAAAGAAAACCUUUCUAUGUACAGAUUCUAAAUCGUACUCCCCAUACAGUCAGAGGCAGGGAGUCGAGGGCAGAGGCAGCAGGCGGAGAGAGGGAGAUAGGGCGAGGGAAGGAGAACGCGGAGAGAGACGAAGGGAGUGGGAGACCAGCGACAGCGAGCGCCAGGGCACCGCAGGCACACUGGAUGCCCAGUCCGCCGGCCCAGCCGCCCUCGGACCCUGGACCGUGCGUCGUGGGCACCAGAAACGAGACUCGGCCAAAUCCUGCCUCACCAGCAGGUAGAUGAAACUCAAGAGAAAAGGUGUGGAUAAAUGAAACUAGCCCAUGAUGAACCUGUUUUCUCCGUGACCACAAUAUUAACCAGGAUGAAUGGCGGUGGCAGUGGGCCUGCAUCACAGGUUGCAGCAGAUGUUCUCAAUAUUUCUAUUAAAAUUUCCUUAUUUCCAUAUGCAAGAGGAGCCCCAGAGCUGCAUCCUUAUGGUAGCUACCAUGCCGUGAUGUAAGCUGCCAUUCACUGGGGAGCUUUGGCAAUAGAAUUGGCUAGAUCAGGAAGCCUAUGUCAACUAUGGAACAACAACUUGCAGCUCAUCUCUAUUGAUGGUGAAACAGUCGCAAAUGGAAUUCCAAGAAACAUUCUAUCAUCAGGUAUUAUCUACUGCUGUCUGCAGAAUUCAGACAUGGAGGGCUCAAUGGUGUCCCCUGGUCUUUGGAACAUUCUGUAUUUUAAUG
ensembl:lncRNA NR2F1-AS1 NR2F1 antisense RNA 1